AUUGAACGCUGGCGGCAUGCUUUACACAUGCAAGUCGAACGGUAACAGGCCGCAAGGUGCUGACGAGUGGCGAACGGGAGAGUAAUGCAUCGGCACGUGCCCAGUCGUGGGGGAUAACGCAGCGAAAGCUGCGCUAAUACCGCAUACGAUCUCUGGAUGAAAGCGGGGGACCGAAAGUCCUCGCGCGAUUGGAGAGGCCGAUGUCAGAUUAGGUAGUUGGUGGGGUAAAGGCCCACCAAGCCAACGAUCUGUAGCUGGUCUGAGAGGACGACCAGCCACACUGGGACUGAGACACGGCCCAGACUCCUACGGGAGGCAGCAGUGGGGAAUUUUGGACAAUGGGCGCAAGCCUGAUCCAGCAAUGCCGCGUGCAGGAAGAAGGCCUUCGGGUUGUAAACUGCUUAUGUACGGAACGAAACGGUCCGGGUUAAUACCCUGGGCUAAUGACGGUACCGUAAGAAUAAGCACCGGCUAACUACGUGCCAGCAGCCGCGGUAACAC
rnacentral:rRNA from 1 species